GGAGAGGGUAAAAUGGAGGUAUGAAGGAGAAGAGGAGAGGGUGAAUGGAGGUAUGAAGGAGAAGAGGAGAGGGUGAAUGGAGGUAUGAAGGAGAAGAGGAGAGGGUGAAUGGAGGUAUGAAGGAGGAGAGGAGAGGAGAGGGUGAAUGGAGGUAUGAAGCAGGAGAGGAGAGGGUGAAUGGAGGUAUGAAGCAGGAGAAGAGAGGAGAGGGUGAAUGGAGGUAUGAAGGAGGAGAGGAGAGGAGAGGGUGAAUGGAGGUAUGAAGCAGGAGAGGAGAGGAGAGGGUGAAUGGAGCCAUGAAGGAGGAGAGAGGAGAGGGUGAAUGGAGGUAUGAAGGAGGAGAGGGUGAAUGGAGCCAUGAAGGAGGAGAGGAGAGGAGAGGGUGAAUGGAGGUAUGAAGGAGGACAGGAGAGGGUGAAUGGAG
ensembl:lncRNA